rnacentral:rRNA from 1 species
UACGAGAGGCCCAAACGUUAUUCGGAAUUACUGGGCUUAAAGAGCUCGUAGGCGGUGUGUCACGUCGGCCGUGAAAACCUGCAGCUUAACUGUGGGCGUGCGGUCGAUACGGGCAUCACUGGAGUUCGGCAGGGGAGACUGGAAUUCCUGGUGUAGCGGUGAAAUGCGCAGAUAUCAGGAGGAACACCGGUGGCGAAGGCGGGUCUCUGGGCCGAUACUGACGCUGAGGAGCGAAAGCGUGGGGAGCGAACAGG